rnacentral:rRNA from 1 species
GAUCAUGCUCAGGAUGAACGCUAGCUACAGGCUUAACACAUGCAAGUCGAGGGGCAGCAUGAACUUAGCUUGCUAAGUUUGAUGGCGACCGGCGCACGGGUGAGUAACACGUAUCCAACCUUCCCGUUACUCUGGGAUAGCCUUUCGAAAGAAAGAUUAAUACCGGAUAGUAUCGAGAGAUUGCAUGAUAACCCGAUUAAAGAUUUAUCGGUAACGGAUGGGGAUGCGUUCCAUUAGAUAG